rnacentral:rRNA from 1 species
AGAGUUUGAUCCUGGCUCAGAUUGAACGCUGGCGGCAUGCUUUACACAUGCAAGUCGAACGGCAGCAUAGAGAGCUUGCUCUCUGAUGGCGAGUGGCGAACGGGUGAGUAAUACAUCGGAACGUGUCCGCUCGUGGGGGACAACCAGCCGAAAGGUUGGCUAAUACCGCAUGAGUUCUACGGAAGAAAGAGGGGGACCCGCAAGGGCCUCUCGCGAGCGGAGCGGCCGAUGACUGAUUAGCCGGUUGGUGAGGUAACGGCUCACCAAAGCAACGAUCAGUAGCUGGUCUGAGAGGACGACCAGCCACACUGGGACUGAGACACGGCCCAGACUCCUACGGGAGGCAGCAGUGGGGAAUUUUGGACAAUGGGCGCAAGCCUGAUCCAGCUAUUCCGCGUGUGGGAUGAAGGCCCUCGGGUUGUAAACCACUUUUGUAGAGAACGAAAAGACAUCUUCGAAUAAAGGAUGUUGCUGACGGUACUCUAAGAAUAAGCACCGGCUAACUACGUGCCAGCAGCCGCGGUAAUACGUAGGGUGCGAGCGUUAAUCGGAAUUACUGGGCGUAAAGGGUGCGCAGGCGGUUGAGUAAGACAGAUGUGAAAUCCCCGAGCUUAACUCGGGAAUGGCAUAUGUGACUGCUCGACUAGAGUGUGUCAGAGGGAGGUGGAAUUCCACGUGUAGCAGUGAAAUGCGUAGAUAUGUGGAAGAACACCGAUGGCGAAGGCAGCCUCCUGGGACAUAACUGACGCUCAGGCACGAAAGCGUGGGGAGCAAACAGGAUUAGAUACCCUGGUAGUCCACGCCCUAAACGAUGUUAACUAGUUGUUGGGAUGUAACAAUCUCAGUAACGCAGCCAACGCGAGAAGUUAACCGCCUGGGAAGUACGGUCGCAAGACUA